UUAAAACUACUACAGUACAGUGCUUGUCAAGCUAUCUGAUGUGGGGGACCGGCAAUUUUUUUCCCAAUGCACGCGCAGAGCGGCAGCCAAUGGCUCGCGGACCAGCACCAGUCUGCGGACUACCACUUUGAGUAGCACUGUUUU